UACGUAGGGCGCAAGCGUUGUCCGGAAUUAUUGGGCGUAAAGAGCUCGUAGGCGGCCUGUUGCGUCCGCUGUGAAAGCCCGGGGCUUAACUCCGGGUCUGCAUUCGAUACGGGUCUGCUGGGGUCCGGCAGGGGAGACUGGAAUUCCUGGUGUAGCGGUGAAAUGCGCAGAUAUCAGGAGGAACACCGGUGGCGAAGGCGGGUCUCUGGGCAGGUACCGACGCUGAGGAGCGAAAGCGUGGGGAGCGAACAGG
rnacentral:rRNA from 1 species